ACACUUACCUGGAAGGGAAGAUACCAUGAUCAUGAAGGUGGUUUUCCCAGGGCGAGGCUUGUCUAUUGCACACUUCGAGAACCAUUUACUUGUAUUACUGCUAAAACAUCUGAAAUGUGUCUUUCCUGUUGC
rnacentral:snRNA from 1 species